rnacentral:rRNA from 1 species
UGUGUAGGUGUCUUUUCAAGUCGGAUGUGAAAUCCCUUGGCUCAACCAAGGAACUGCAUUCGAUACUGUUAAGAUUGAGCUUUGGAGAGGUGAGCGGAAUUCCAGGUGUAAGGGUGAAAUCUGUAGAUAUCUGGAGGAACACCAGUGGCGAAGGCGGCUCACUGGCCAAAAGCUGACACUGAGACACGAAAGCUAGGGGAGCAAACA